CCGUCAGGAAUGCAUCAACAUAGAUAUUAACUACAGUCACACACAAUGAUCUCACACAUCCAAAGAUUAAUUAGUAGAUAAAUUAACACGACGAUCUUAAUCAUUGUCAGUCCGAAUUUUAAACUCACUGAGCAACAAAUCUCCAUCACAAUAAUUGUUGCAAACUUGAUUUAUACACACAUAUCCCUGCUAUUCUGAAGUUGAUUUUCUACAUACGUCCAAAAUGGUAUCCAAACUUGGUUCCGCCAUUCUAAUCUUAUUAAUGUCAACGACAGUACAAAGUGGACCGACAGCAUCCGGGAUUUGCUACGCUGGGUGUGCGACCGUCGUUGUGGCGUGUUACGCCGCGGCUGGCGCCACGUUCGGUACGGUCACUGCUGGCGUUGGAACACCGGCGGCAAUUCUUGCGUGCAACGGGGCCUUUGGUUCUUGUCAGGCAGCCUGCAUGGUGGCAUUUUUCUUACCAACGCCUUAAACUUGACAUGCAUAUUUCCUACUGCAGUUGCUUCCAUAUUUGAUCAGUGAAUCUUCAUUAGAAUUUAUUUAGUGCGUAAAUUAUCUAAUUAAUAAGAAAUCGGAUUUGAUGAAGAUUGUGAUGACAUGAACUCUGGGGCAGACUUUGGACAUUUGUAGUGUCUUAAGAAAUGUAUAUCUUAGUUUAUUUGAGCUGCAAUUUUUACACGUAACAUACAUAAGCCUGCAGAGGAUUAUAUACGAAUUGGGAAAUAAAUUUGUGUUGAUCAGUAAUUUAAA